AUUGAACGCUGGCGGCAGGCCUAACACAUGCAAGUCGAGCGGCAGCGGAAAGUAGCUUGCUACUUUGCCGGCGAGCGGCGGACGGGUGAGUAAUGUCUGGGAAACUGCCUGAUGGAGGGGGAUAACUACUGGAAACGGUAGCUAAUACCGCAUGACCUCGAAAGAGCAAAGUGGGGGAUCUUCGGACCUCACGCCAUCGGAUGUGCCCAGAUGGGAUUAGCUAGUAGGUGAGGUAAUGGCUCACCUAGGCGACGAUCCCUAGCUGGUCUGAGAGGAUGACCAGCCACACUGGAACUGAGACACGGUCCAGACUCCUACGGGAGGCAGCAGUGGGGAAUAUUGCACAAUGGGCGCAAGCCUGAUGCAGCCAUGCCGCGUGUGUGAAGAAGGCCUUAGGGUUGUAAAGCACUUUCAGCGAGGAGGAAGGCAUCAUACUUAAUACGUGUGGUGAUUGACGUUACUCGCAGAAGAAGCACCGGCUAACUCCGUGCCAGCAGCCGCGGUAAUACGGAGGGUGCAAGCGUUAAUCGGAAUUACUGGGCGUAAAGCGCACGCAGGCGGUUUGUUAAGUCAGAUGUGAAAAUCCCCGCGCUUAACGUGGGAACUGUAUUUGAAACUGUCAAGCUAUAACUCUUGUAAAGGGGGGUAGAAUUCAUGGUGUUGCGCAUAAAUG
rnacentral:rRNA from 1 species